rnacentral:rRNA from 1 species
CCUACGGGAGGCAGCAGUGGGGGAUAUUGCACAAUGGGGGAAACCCUGAUGCAGCGACGCCGCGUGGGUGAAGAAGUAUUUCGGUAUGUAAAGCCCUAUCAGCAGGGAAGAAAGAAGACGGUACCUGACUAAGAAGCCCCGGCUAACUACGUGCCAGCAGCCGCGGUAAUACGUAGGGGGCGAGCGUUAUCCGGAUUCACUGGGUGUAAAGGGAGCGUAGACGGCCGUGCAAGCCAGGAGUGAAAGCCCGGGGCCCAACCCCGGGACUGCGCUUGGAACUGUGCGGCUGGAGUGCGGGAGGGGCAGGCGGAAUGCCUGGUGUAGCGGUGAAAUGCGUAGAUAUCAGGAGGAACACCGGCGGCGAAGGCGGCCUGCUGGACCGCGACUGACGUUGAGGCUCGAAAGCGUGGGGAGCGAACAGGAUUAGAUACCCUUGUAGUC